CGCUUCUCUUUUCUCUUUUUUUUUUUUUUUAUUUCUCUUUCUUCUCUCUUUUCCUCUCUCUUUCCUCUCUUUCUUUUCUCUUGUCGAGUAAGAUGAAGAAGGAC
rnacentral:ribozyme from 13 species